GUCCACGCCGUAAACGGUGGGCACUAGGUGUGGGGGCGUUCCACGUUCUCCGUGCCGUAGCUAACGCAUUAAGUGCCCCGCCUGGGGAGUACGGCCGCAAGGCUAAAACUCAAAGGAAUUGACGGGGGCCCGCACAAGCGGCGGAGCAUGCGGAUUAAUUCGAUGCAACGCGAAGAACCUUACCUGGGUUUGACAUGCACCGGACGCAUUCAGAGAUGGGUGUUCCUUCGGGUCGGUGUGCAGGUGGUGCAUGGCUGUCGU
rnacentral:rRNA from 1 species